AGCAGCGUGGCUCGGUGGAAAGAGCCUGGGCUUUGGAGUCAGAGGUCAUGGGUUCGACUCCCGGCUCUGCCA
rnacentral:tRNA from 1 species